UACGAAGGGGGCUAGCGUUGUUCGGAAUUACUGGGCGUAAAGCGCGCGUAGGCGGCUUUGUAAGUUAGAGGUGAAAGCCCGAAGCUCAACUUCGGAAUUGCCUUUAAGACUGCAUCGCUAGAAUCGUGGAGAGGUAAGUGGAAUUCCGAGUGUAGAGGUGAAAUUCGUAGAUAUUCGGAAGAACACCAGUGGCGAAGGCGACUUACUGGACACGUAUUGACGCUGAGGUGCGAAAGCGUGGGGAGCAAACAGG
rnacentral:rRNA from 1 species